UACGUAGGGUGCGAGCGUUGUCCGGAUUUAUUGGGCGUAAAGAGCUCGUAGGCGGUCUGUCGCGUCCGUUGUGAAAACUCGAGGCUCAACCUCGGGCUUGCAGUGGAUACGGGCAGACUAGAGUGCGGUAGGGGAGACUGGAAUUCCUGGUGUAGCGGUGGAAUGCGCAGAUAUCAGGAGGAACACCGGUGGCGAAGGCGGGUCUCUGGGCAGUAACUGACGCUGAGGAGCGAAAGCGUGGGGAGCGAACAGG
rnacentral:rRNA from 1 species